CUACCUUUCUACUUUUCAUUUUCAUUCUCAUUCUCACUCUUGAUGGAGAAGUCGAAAAAGUGACUUAGAAAUGGAGGUAUUACAUUUUCGAAGAGAACAUCAAAUUGAUGGAAAUAUAGUGAAGAAUUAUUUUAGUCCCCAUCUGGAACAUCAAUUUGUUGUUGAAAUUUCCCAUUUGACUAUCUAUGGGAGGAAGCCCGUCAUUAUAAAAUGGAUGCAACAUGAAAGAAAGAGAAUCGAGUAACAUCACCAAAUAUCUUGGAUAGAAUGUAUUACGAAGAAUUCAGUAAGAAUAUAAAAAGGCACUGUGAGGAAAACUCUCAAAGGUGAAGGCUGCAAAACUUAUCUGACCUGAAGAAGUAGUGAGUUUCUUAUCUGAAAUAUCAUUAUAUGUUCACGUAGGAGAAGUAAACUAUUGAUGGUUUACUUGUGAUUUGACAAAUAGUUGGUGAUAGUUCAUAGUUCAGUGAUGAAAUUCAAAUAUCCAAUACUUAAGAUGUGAUUAUCACCAUUAACUGUUUGUUUCCCAUAUCCUGCACAAUGAUUGUUUGGUAAUUCUCUAUUAAUAAAAUAAUAAUAUAUAUGAACUUGCAGAAUUUAUUGUGAAUUAUAAUAUUUCAAACUGCUUAUUUUGGCUUAGCCGGAAGGUGAUGAAUAGAUGUGAUAAAGAAAGUUAGUGUAUGUAAAAACAUCUUUUGUUACAGUUAUGAAUUUAUAUUUAUUUUUCAUAGUUAUAUCAAGUAAAAACAUCUUUUGUUAAGUUCUUUUCGAAGGAGUCCAAA